rnacentral:misc_RNA from 1 species
UCUCCGUAGGUGAACCUGCGGAGGGAUCAUUACUGAGUGAGGGCUCCGGCCCGACCUCCAACCCUAUGUGAACCACCUCGUUGCUUCGGGGGCGACCCUGCCGUUCGGCGCGGCGCCCCCGGAGGCUCAUCAAACACUGCAUCUCUGCGUCGGAGUUUAAACAAAUUAAACAAAACUUUCAACAACGGAUCUCUUGGUUCUGGCAUCGAUGAAGAACGCAGC